ensembl:lncRNA
GUUUCAGAGAGAUUGUGUGGGAAAGAGAAGAAAUGUUGUUCUUUAAUUGUUCAGCCUGUUUUUUCUGCACAGUAAAACUUUUUUAUUUGAUUUGGCAAAGUUGUCAUCUUAAGAUGAUGAAGUGCUGAAGUGAAGUGCUUUUUGGUAGUGCUUUUAAAGUAAAACCAUAACGUCAUGUGUAAGAAUAAAUAGAAAUUAUGCCUUUGGAAAGGAUGUGUGAAAAUAACCUAAUGUUCCAUCUUAUUUUUCCAUUAACAUGCAGCGUGACAGGUACAGAAAUGUUCAGAGAGAAAAAAACAGGUCCUGUUUAAAAAACUCUAUGCUCAAAACUGUGUUCAGUGUUGGAAAGUUCAGGAUCUGUCAGUUUUGCAGCUCACACAAGGAGCUAUCCACUCCUCAGUCUUAGACUUGUGCUGGCUGGUUCUUGGUCUCUGCUGCAUGCACAGAAAAGGUCUGGCCCUGUGACAGCUUUGGGAGCCCACAUCUGACUUGCUUGUGCUUCAGGACCACUGAUAGCCUCCCUCCCAGAGUGGGUAGAGUAAAUGUGGAGGAACAGUUGCCAGGAGCAACUUCAUAACUUACUGUGUUUCUCAUUAUCUGCUAAUAAGGACCUUUGUCCUUAGCAGGUGAUGCAUGUUUUGCAUCCAAAAAGGUAUUACUAUAGAAAAUAAAAUUCACUGCAGAGUGAAAUGCAUUUUGAUUGGACACAUGAAUGAUCAUGACUGUUAAAGGAAUGAGAAAUUAUCAUAUAUUCUGUAGAAUAUAUGAUAAAAUCAGUUCACUGUGCUGUUCUUCUAGUUUGUAAGAUAUAUGAAUCAAGAGUUUCAUUUUAAUAAUGCUUUUUUUACCCAAAUUUAAAUUAAAUUCUCCAAUGAAGAAAAUUAGUAAGACAGAAAUCACAGUGAUGGCCUCAUGCCAAACAUGGCGCUUGUUUCUCUUACUCUUGUAAUUUUGAGUUAUUUGGGGUAACAAAAGUUACAUGUUUGUUCUGGAGCACUAUGGACUAUUUCAAGUCCAUAUUAGAAACUAAGCAGAGUGCUUUAUGCACUUAAUUAUAUCAUUUAAGAAAAGGAGAAUUCAGUAAAAUUACAACAAUGUUUUGCAGCUGUCAUCUAAAGAGUACGUGGAAGACAUCUCUUGUAUUUUAUAUAGUGACAGCUUGCUGUCAUUAUGAAAUAUAUUUUGAUUGGUUAAAUUGCAAACCAGAAGUUCCUUGAAUGAAAAAUUUUGAUUGAUUUUAAUUAAAACAAAUCCAAAAGACAACAACAAACAGCCCAAACCAAAACCAUGUAUUAUCUAUAAUUUAUUUAGAAAUAAAAGCAUCUAGCUCAAUUGUAAGUCAGUGUGUCUGGAAGCAAGCAGGAGUGCUUAAAUCUGAUUCAAUAUAAAAUAAGCUGAAGUUACAGAAACAGAAAGUUCAUUAAUUUUCUCUUGUAUUUUUAAUGAAGAGAUAAUUCUAGUAGAAAAUUUCCUAAAGAUAUAAAUAAUUUGUCUGUCAUGGAUGUGUUGCUAUGGUGGUGCUAUGUACCUAACUUUAAAUGGGCCUCAUGCUGUGUUCAGUAAGAUCCUUAGUAUUCUCUCUUGUAACACUUGUUUAGAAAUUAUUAUUAAAAUAUUAUUAUUCUGUUAUUUGAACAUUG